UACGGAGGGUGCAAGCGUUAAUCGGAAUUACUGGGCGUAAAGCGUGCGCAGGCGGUUUGUUAAGUCUGCUGUGAAAUCCCCGGGCUUAACCUGGGAACUGCGCUUGUGACUGCAAGACUCGAGUACGGCAGAGGGGGGUAGAAUUCCACGUGUAGCAGUGAAAUGCGUAGAGAUGUGGAGGAAUACCGAUGGCGAAGGCAGCCCCCUGGGUCGAUACUGACGCUGAGGAGCGAAAGCGUGGGGAGCGAACAGG
rnacentral:rRNA from 1 species